rnacentral:rRNA from 1 species
CACGGGGGGAGCAAGCGUUGUUCGGAAUCACUGGGCGUAAAGGGCGUGUAGGCGGUCAAGUAAGUGGAAUGUGAAAUCCCCCGGCUUACCCGGGGACCUGCAUCCCAAACUGCUUGGCUUGAGUACGGGAGAGGAUGAGGGAAUUCCUGGUGUAGCGGUGAAAUGCGGUAGAUAUCAGGAGGAACACCGGUGGCGAAGGCGCUCAUCUGGCCCGAUACUGACGCUGAGGCGCGAAAGCUAGGGGAGCAAACGGG